ACUUGUAGUUUCAUACCACUUGACAUCUUUUCAUUUAUUGCUUGGGUGGCGAGUGACGUAUAUAUAGUUGUGGCCUCCACCCUUCCUUAGUAAAUCAGUUGUAAUCUCUAUUCUCAAAAAUAAUAUACAAUAUUUCUCAAACUCUCUCUCUCUCUCUCGUAUUUAGUUUUAGGGCAAGCAGAUACAGACUAGCAAAUAGAAAGGUAAAUUUGUUCAGUAUGCAAAGAAAUACAAGCGCCGCAUAAAAUGGCAAAGCGAUUUCGCUUAAG
rnacentral:lncRNA from 1 species